rnacentral:rRNA from 1 species
UACGGGGGGAGCAAGCGUUGUUCGGAUUUACUGGGCGUAAAGGGCGCGUAGGCGGCCACCGCAAGUCGGGUGUGAAAUCUCGGAGCUUAACUCCGAAACUGCAUUCGAUACUGCCGUGCUUGAGGACUGGAGAGGAGACUGGAAUUUACGGUGUAGCGGUGAAAUGCGUAGAUAUCGUAAGGAAGACCAGUGGCGAAGGCGGGUCUCUGGACAGUUCCUGACGCUGAGGCACGAAGGCCAGGGGAGCAAACGGG